UACGUAGGGGGCAAGCGUUGUCCGGAAUCAUUGGGCGUAAAGCGCGUGUAGGCGGUCCGGUAAGUCCGCUGUGAAAGUCGGGGGCUCAACCCUCGGAUGCCGGUGGAUACUGUCGGGCUUGAGGCCGGGAGGGGGUAGCGGAAUUCCCAGUGUAGCGGUGAAAUGCGUAGAUAUUGGGAGGAACACCGGUGGCGAAGGCGGCUACCUGGACCGGUUCUGACGCUGAUGCGCGAAAGCGUGGGGAGCGAUCCGG
rnacentral:rRNA from 1 species